UACGUAGGGUGCAAGCGUUUGUCCGGAAUUAUUGGGCGUAAAGAGCUCGUAGGCGGUUUGUCGCGUCUGCUGUGAAAACUCGGGGCUUAACCCCGGGCCUGCAGUGGGUACGGGCAGACUAGAGUGCGGUAGGGGAGACUGGAAUUCCUGGUGUAGCGGUGAAAUGCGUAGAUAUCUGGAGGAACACCGGUGGCGAAGGCGGCAUCCUGGACCAACACUGACGCUGAGUGAGCGAAAGCCAGGGGAGCAAACGGGG
rnacentral:rRNA from 1 species